ACUUGGUAGUAUUGCUACAUUCUUUCUCAUAUUUGCAUUUCAAUUACCUUAGGACUGACCUAUAGUUACUCAUUAGUUGAUUUUAUAGCAUAAAAGCAAAGCAUGUUAUCUUGAGUUUCUCAUAUUAUUACAUUUUCAGUCUUAUACAAUGCCUUUUUGAUCACUUAGUUGGUGACUGAAAGAGAAUUGAUCACUGAUUUUUCUGGCAUGUCACUGUGAAUCCUAUCCAGUAGUGGUGCACCGAGGCUGAAAUCAUGUUAACUGCGUUUAGGACAAAUGUAAACCACUCCAGGUAAAAUAACCUUGUUUAAAAAAAAAUAAUAACUUUUAUUGCAGAGGCCUUGGCUAGGUUCAUGAUGACAUAGGACCUUGUUUGAAUAUAAUGAUUUUAAAUUUUGAGCUUAAAAUGACACUCUGAAAUCUAGUCAAUGUGCCUCACUUGAUUUAGAUUUCUCAUAGAACAUUAUUCUCAAUAGAAUAUGUUGGUUUGGCAUGUAAAAUCUUCAGAUAAAUAGAAAUGGCUGGUGUAGUACUACACUUUGUCAGUCUACAAACAACCUUUUUUAUUUUCAUAUAUAUUCUGAGCUAAUUCUUUUUUUUUUUUCAAUACUACAUCUAUGUGUUGUUGAAAGCAAAAAAAGGGAAGGCUCAUUCAUGGAUCCUAGAAGGCAAAUGUACUUGAUGAGAUGGAAGAAAGUACGUGCAAACAAGUAACUACCACCUGUUAGAAUGAACAUUGAAUGUCAAUUGUAGGUGUCUAAGUGAUGUACAGGAAGGAGGGUGAGUAAUAUUUAUGGAAACAUAUUUAUGAAACAUAGUGUCUCUGGUAAGUGCUUUCACAUGGAUGUUGUUGAUGUUUGAGGGACAUUUAUUUAUUUUUAUUUUUUUUCUAUGAAGUUGACUCACAAUUAUAGAGCCAAUACAAUAGAUGUUUAAAAAAUAUUAAUUAAAUACAUGUGUCAACACUCAUAAUUGUUUUAAAUUUUAUAAUACAAUUUUUAAAUAUAAGAAAGUUAAAAUUGUUUAUUGUGGAAUAUUUUGAUAUAUUCUAUACCCCUGUGAUAUGUAAGUCUACACUCUAGUUAGCCCAUCUUACAUAGGUACCACUUUACCUAAUCAUUUCAUGUUAACCAGGACUUGUCUUUUUUUUUUGAAGAUUUAUUUAUUUAUGCAUACAAGAGCUGGGGUACAGGCCAGAGAUGCAGGGGCGGGGGUGUGUGUGAGAGGAUUUACCAGAGAUAGAAUGGGGAACAGAACAGGCAGACUGACUGAAAUACACUGCUGAGGGGAGCAGUGGGCGAGACAGGAGAGGUCUGCUGCACCGUGUGGGUUGCUCCGGGAUCGAACUCAUGCUUCAGUGGCUGCAAAUUGCUUCAUAGUACGGUGCUUAACCCCUUGCGCCACCAGGAAGGCUCAGGACUUGUCUUAAUGUUGUAGAGUAACCUGUCAUAAUUCUUACAGUGUGUUUGUACAAUUAAGUUUUGGUUAUUUUUGGUAAAAAUGUGGAACUACAAAUGCUGUUUGAGUUUACAGAGGUGAGAACACUUUCCUUGCUUUGUGAUGUGAUAAAGAUCUAAUAACAUUUGAUAGAUGCUUCUAAGGAUAUGAUUGUUGAGUAUGUUGAUAAAUGGCUCUUCAGGUGUUUAAGUAGCUUUGCUCUGCCAGGAAUAAACCGACAGUUUAGUGUAGGGGAGCAGCUAAGAGCUGAGUAUACUAUACUUCGUUGAUCCCCCAAAUAGUAGAUGAAGAAACCUCAAAUGACUUCUACCUUGUAUUGAAAGGGGAAUCACUGUCAUCCUCAGGGGUAUCUGUCACCCUCUUGUGCCAGGGAUACAGGCUAGAAGAAGCAAUUCUACUUGUACUUUCACACAUUGAAUGUCAUCUCAAUUAGGUUCUGAAUCUGCUUUGCUAAAAUGAUGUUCCUUUGCCUAUGAUUUAGAAAGUUCUAAUGUGUAACAGAAACCAUUUGUAGGAGACUUUACUGGGUUAAUUUAAUUUGAGUGACAAGAUUAAUCUUAAAAACUAGGAAAGGUAGUCAAGAUUCAAAAAAAUGUUAUAUUUCAACUGAAUUUUUUAAAGAUUAAUUUUUAUUCAUGCAUGCAAGAACUAGGGUGUAGGCCAGAGGUGUAAGGCAGGAGGGGUUGGUGAAAGGAUUCACCAGAGACAGUGGGGAAUUAGAACAGGCAGAUCUACUGAAUUACACUGCUGAUGGGAGCAACUGUGGAGACAAGAAGUCUGCUGUGCCAUGUGGGUUAGAUCCCUGUUGUGGAUAGAACUCAUGUUGCAAUGGCUGUGGAUAGUUUCAUAGUUCUGAUACUUAACCCCUUACUUAACUCCCACCAGGGAGUUCCUCAUUUGAAUUUUUUAUUAUGAGUCACUUUGCAUUUAAUGUAUAGCUGAUAAGGAUAAUACAGUGACAUAGAGGUAUAGCUAUUUGUACAUCUCAAUUCAUUGGGGUUCCUACUCAUAAAAUUUGUGUAGCAUAUUUAUAGAGUUCCUUGUAUCUUAUCAUUUGUUAUGGUGUCAAAGAUAAUUUUAAAAAAUACAUUUCCCCAUAUCAUUAAUUUCACAUCUGUUAGGAGAUAGAUAACUGGAAAAAUAGUAUGCUCUUUUAUUUCCAUGGUAAAAUUUGGAUUAUAUUACCAUUCCAAUUUGGUCCCUUGUGUCAGAAAUGUUAGACCGUGGCUUAUAUGACCUUUAUUGUAUCAGAUAGAGCUGUUGUUGGACUUUCUGCUUUACCUAUUUCAUCUGCCUUAAUUUUGAGUAUCCUCAUUAUUUGGCAUUUUUUAUACUUAACUCUGAAAUAUUUGGUGGAUGUUUUAACUAUAAUGUUGGUCUUUAAUUGGUUUAUAAUAAGUUAUUGUGGAAAAUAUGAAGUUAUUUUUUGUAUUUGUGGUGACAUUUGAAUGUCUUACUUUCAGGUUUUUUUUUUUUUUUGGACUAUUUGUUAAAAUCUAAUGUAAGCCAUUAUAUGUAGUUCAGUGACAUGGAAGAUCUCAAUGUAAUUCUAGGAGAUUGUUAGGGUCUUUUAUUGUCUUUGAUUUUUUGUUGUUGCCUUAGUUUAUAUCAGUUGUUGAUAGUGCUGCUAUAUAUCAUCCAUUGUUAAAGAUGAUCAUUCAUUCUCCCAGACCAGGUGAUUUUCCUCCAUUUAUGAAGAUGCACUGCCUGCUGGUAUACUUUUCUUUAUAUAGUUUACUUCUUGUUGGGAAAGACCUUGACUGGAUUUAUGAUGAGCUGUGUUUACUGAGCAUGAUGAUGUGAAGCUCAAUGUGAGUACUCUGAAGUCCAGCCGAAGCGUCAAUCCAAAGUUCUGGCAUAUACAUUUUUUGAACAUAAGUUUAAAUUUCAAAAGGGUUUUUUUCCAUCAAUACUGUGCAUGUUAGGGAGAAUGGAACUGUUGGUUUUUCCAGUGAAAUACAGGGAAGUUUGUUCUAGAUUCAUUAGAAUUUAAUUUUGGAUAGUACUGUCUAUGUUUUUGUAGCAUUUGUACAUCUCACCCGUCUUUUUCAUAAUGCAUUUCAACUGAUACAUCAGUUUGAGAAAAUAACUACUUCCCUUUCCAUUAUUCGCAUCAUGCAGUUCCAAACUCAUGCCAAAAGUUUCCUCAGGUCCUGGUUCCAACCUCUAUGAGGAAGCUCCAAUUACCACACAGAUAUGAAAUUGCGAAUUUAUUGGUGAGAUAUUGAUUGCUUUGACUUAAUUUUUGGCAGGAUGUUUAAGUCACAUUCAGAGGGACUAUUCUUGAUAAAUUAACUGUCUGUGCAUCUUGACAAAGAAUACAUGGAAAUUUAGAGUUUAAGUCUUUGUGAUUGAAGACAAUGAAAUUGUCAGUUUGCAGUUGUCUAUGUUAAGCCCUAGAAAGAAAUUGAUUUGCUAAAUACCAUGCAUUUUUAUCAACUGAAUAUUUAAGAUGACUAUUUAAAAUUAAUCCUUGCAAAUAUAAAUAAUGAAUAUUUUGCUAUCUGUGAUUGGCAUUCUGUGAGUAGGUGCUGAAAAAAUAGCUUUUUGAAAACCUGUAUAAAAACGCAAUCAGGGAUAGUUAAUUAUACCAAGUUCUUAUUUUCAAAUAGUCAUCUUAAUUUGCUGAGAUGUGUGUAUGUAUAUUUAUAUGUGCAUGUAUAUAUAUGUACACAUAUAUGGUAUAAGGAUAUUAAUACUGUGACAGGUGAUCAGUUUAUAAUACAAAGUUAUCAGGGUUUCAGAGAAUUGUAUGGUUGGUUGGUAAGCCUUUUUCUUAAUUAUUUCCCUCUUUCCCUUACAAGUCUUUUUUUUUUUUUGGCCAUACAUAGUGCAUUUAUUUUUUGAAAAUAUUUAUUUAUGCAUAAAAGAUCUGGGGUACAGGCCAGAGGUGUGAGGGGGUUAGAGGAUUCACCGGGGACGGAAUGGGAUCAGAACAGGCAGACUGACUGCAGAGGAGAGCAGCAGGUGAGUCAGGAGAGAUCUGCUGUGCCAUGUGGGCAGCUCCCUGGCCGGCUGGGGGAUCGAACUCAUGCUGCAGAGGCUGCUGACAGCUUCAUAGGUUGUGUCUUAACCCCUUGCACCACCAGGGAGGCUCCGAUAUAAAUAGUGUAUUUAUAACCUCUCAGAGUUGUCUAGGUUGUCUUCAGUGUUGCCAAUCCUGGCCAGUGUGGAUAUAUUGGAAGAACUGAGAACCUACUGAGCUGCCUGUUUUAUCAACUGAAUUACUAGAAAGAUUUCAUACUCUUGCGUGACAAGGGGAAGGAAUGAGGUUCAGGUCUUCUUGAGGUAUGGUAUUGACUUAAGAUUGUUUAAUAAGUUUAGAUGUUUGGUGCAAUGUAGAGUGGGUAGUUAGUAGGAAAAGAGAUACAGUUAUAUUUGGCAGCUCAGCCACAUCUUAACCCCAUCCCUGGAUGAUACUUCUUUAUUUAAAUAAAUUUGCCUAUAGAUGUCAAUGUGGGGAAGAGGAUUAGUUUUUGUUUAGAAUUUUUUGAGGGGCAAAGGCUGUCUUAAUGAUUAGAUGCAUUGUUUUCUUGCAUUUGAUAACAUCUUUCAUUUUUCUGUGGUCCAGACAAGAUCAUUUAUAAGGGCAAUUUAAUGAGAAGAGUAAUGGAAGGAACAAAGCAGCAAUAAUAGACAGUGAGCAUGGUGAUGGAUGGAGAAAGAUAAGAAGGAAGAAGAUAGAUUUAAAGUGACGAGAGCAAUGUUGGCUAUAUGGAAACUGCACUGUUUGAGUAUUAGGACACAACAGGUAGCAUAGGCAUCAGAAUUAGUAUUCAUCUACAAACUGGUGCUAUCUUUAAGUGUGUGGGCCUCAACCUGCUUUGCCAUGUAAGCCUCUGUACGAUCUCUUGAAAUGACUAUUAUAGGUAUUACUGUGUCUUCUGUUGAGAUUGUUGUAAUUUGCAAAAUGUGAUCAUCAGUUGUCUUUUUUUAAGAUUUAUUUAUUUAUGCAUACAAGAGUUGGGGUACAGGCCACAGAUGCAGGGGUAAGAGGAUUCAUCAGAGACAGAGCAGGGAACAGAACAGGCAGAUUGACCGAAGUACAACUGUUGAGGGGAGUAGCAGCUGAGGCAGGAGAGGUCUGCUGUGCCAUGUGGGUUGCUCCCUGGCCGGCCUGGAUCAAAUUUGUGCAGCAGAGGCUGCGGAUUGCUUCAUAGUGCACUGCUUAAUCCCUUGCGCCACCAGGAGGCCAUCAUCAGUUGUCUCUCUACUACAGAUACUAGAACAGAUGAAGUAUUACAUUUCUAGGCAGUUUAUAUGAAAUAAAAUAUUCUCAUUUAAUACACAUGAAAAACACCUGGAGGUCCCAUGCUAAGUUUCUGACUCAGGUGUGUACAGGAAAAAACUGGAUUUUAUUUGGAAUAAAAGUACUUAUGUGAGUAUGGAUAAUGAAAUAUGUUAUAUGUUUAUAAAUAUGAAAUGAACAUUGAAUUUUGAAAGAAAAUUCAUCAACUUGUAUAAUCAAAAUACCUUUUUUUUAUCCUUUGAAGAUUAUUACAAAAGUCGGAAUGACUGGUUUUGGUCAUUGGAAUCAAGUACAUGGGAAAACAGACAUUCCUAUAAUUUCUCUGAGAAUAUGAGUGCAAAUAUUUUAUAAGAAUAAGCUUCCAGUAUAUAUUUAAAUUAUGUAUAUCAUUUGAAUAAACAGGUUUGCUUUUACUAAUUUUCCUAGUUAGGAAUCAACUGUACAAGUUUUCACUAAGUUUACAUUGGAUAAAAAUGACCAGUAAAGAAAUUUCCAGAAAACAGUAGUUUUUUGAAAAGCUUUUUAAGGUGUGCUUUACUGAAUAACAUGACUUUCUAGAUGUGAUCAUUUCUGCUUAAUAAUUAAACCUUUGGAAGGGGUUUGCUGAUGUGACUAGCAUAUGUGUAACCUUUGUUACUUUGCAUUUGGUAUGUUUUGUAUCCACUUCUCGAUACUUUUUUUCAGUGGUCCAUAAAAUGUAUAUACUAGUGGCUUUCUUGGUUUUGAGUUCGAGAAAUACUGUUUUCUGAGGAAAUUUCCACAUAUGUAUUAUAAUUUGGCACAAAGUUCUGUGUUGGGUGUAUUUAGUUAUUGCAAUCUAGUAUUGUUUUCUAAUGAUGUUUCUCUGUACAGAUAUUAUUAAGGGAUUCUCAAAUGUUACAUAGAAGCUUUGAAGAUUAGCUUUUUUAUUUGGCAUUCCUCCAAGUUUGGAAGUGCUGCACAGUCUAUUGCUGUGCUAUCAACCACUGAAGAAGGAACCAAGACAUUUGAAGCAAGAUUUCUUUCUGUGACUUAAACUGAAUACAAGAAGAAAUCACAGGAUUUAAAAAAAAAAAUGUAACUUUGUGGGUUUUCUGAGAGUAAGAUAUUGCUGUGAUUCUGGUUUUGUUAUAUUUAUUGGGUGUCAGAUAAUGUGGAACAGUUUUUUCCUAAUUAUCUUUUGCAUGAUGGGUAACCCUCUCCAGUGAGCUUGGUACAAAGCAGUGGUUUUGUAUUUUAGAUAGAUUGGAUGUUUUCCUAAGUGGAUUAAGGCCAUAAGUGAUGUCAAAAUAACAAAAGAAAUAACUCCCUACUCACUAUCCCACUAUCACAAGGCCUAGAAUGAUAGUCAGCAUCUAGUAGGUGUUUGAUAGAUAAUUGCCUUUUGGUAUCGGUACUACUGGUUUUUACUUAUUUUUAGUUAUGUUUCCUUGAUUCUUUUCAUUCAUUUACAUAAAUAAUUUUGAGAGUUCAAUAACUUUAUUGGUGUAAUUUUGCCUUUUGUAGAGGCAAAAUUUGCCUUCUAGUGUAAACCUAAAUUUCCCAUUCUUUGUAGGAGUUUGAGUCACGAAAUAAGGACGUUGUGUGGUGCCAUACUGAGUAAUGCUCCAGCAAUUAGAACAAUACUUAAAUGAGCUUGCCAAGCUUUUAUUUGGGUUUUGUGGAUACAGAAGAUAACAUUCCUUUUUUGCCUAUUUUUCAGUUGACUUCACCUGCUUCAGGCUAGCUGGCUGGAGAGAAACAUCCAUGAUUUUUUUUAAGUAUAUGUUCAUUUGAAUUUGUCCCUUUUGUAAAUCUAAUAGAAAUCAAGGGGGGUUUUGUUGUUGAUGAGCAUAUGACAGUUUUAUUUGUUGGUAAUGAAUGACUAUUUUGAUUGCAUAAAAAUAUGUGAAAACUCAUCAUUUGUAUUAUUUUGAAUGGUGAAAUGUACUGGUUAUUAUUACAGUCUUUGUAAUAUACAUAAAAAAUUGUGCAACUCACUAAAACAGAGGAAUUUGAAAUGAUUUUAAAAUGACAAAAACUUGAAGGUAAUUCAAAGAAGAAGAUGUGAUUGUGGAUUUGAAAUGUCUCAAAAUCACUCAUAAGAAUCCCUUAAAAAUCAUUGUUUGAUAUGUUCAACUAUGAAUUUUACAGAGUUUUAAAACUAUGAUCCCAAGUAAGAAAGGGCUGUUUAUUCAUGGACAUUAAUGGAACCUAAGACAGAUGGACACGGAUUUCAUUCAACAUAGGAAAUUUGUUACUUAGGUAGACACUGUUGAAACUAGUGUAUGUGACUGUAGUUGGGAUAACUUUCUAGAUGCAAGUUCUGCUGUCUUUUAAUUAUAUUUACAAGUUUCUAAUCAAACCCCUGAAUUUUAACAUUAAUUCAUCUGUCUGCCAAAGCAGUUUCUGGGAAAGAACAUGAAGAAUGCCGCCACACUUCUAAAUAAAUCUUCAGGUGAUAUGUUACAGGAAUUUUACAAAUAACCAACAAUCAGAAUAUAUGUCAAAUAUAUAAACAUAAAAUAUUUAGAGCUUCUUUCACCACUACCAAAACUUGGAAUUUUCUACUUUUAGUCACUGAACAUACAGAUUCAUAUAUUUUAUGACAUACCUUCAUCUUUAUCCUCAAGUCCAUAAAAAUCUCUAGAAAUGUGUAUAGCAGUAAUGAAUGAUUCCAGCCUGGGAUUAUGUAGAACACAUUUUCAAACCUUUUUGCCAUUAACAUAGUAGGAGAGUACAGCAUGAGUGACUACAACUGCAUCAGUAACAUUGUUUCAAAAUUCUUCUGGAGUAUCCUAAGAACUUUGUCUUCUGGACUGCUGUGGACUUCAGGUAGACUUAGGAGAUCUUUGGCCCCCACCUUACUGUAGUCCUAAGAUUUUCUACUUAGUUUGCCUUGCCAAACACUGUAAGAACAUUGAAGAUUUCAACCAAAAAUGUGUGAAGGAUUCUAUCUACUGAAUUAUUACAUGGAUAAAACUUGCAGAAUUGUGCUUCUCUGAACAAUCUCAAGUAGACUGAAGCCAACUCUGAAGCUGUAUUUGGAUAGAAAGGGAAAGGCAAUACUUCUUGAUUCCAGAUAGAAGCUUCACAAUCAGAAAAUCAGCAAACAAAAUAUCAGUUUGAAAACUUAAUCUUGCUUUUUAAGUAUUUGCUUGUUACUAGCAAUUCUGGGAUUUGCAAACAGAAAAACAAAGAAUUUUUUAUUGCUGUGGAACAUCAAUUUGUCUUCUAAAGGUUUGCCAGAAAAAUACCUGCAUAUGUGACAUCUGUACACACAAAAAACAAAACAUAUCAUUUUUUUUCCCUCCUGGCACUUUUGAAUGGCUCAGCAUAUUAUCCUACUAACUACUUUAUUGGACAUAAAUAGCAUAAGAAUGUUUAAUUAGGAAAGUUGAGUCUGGGUAAUAAGGAAAUGAAAGUGAAAUCUUUAGUGACUGAAUAGGUAUGAACUAUUCAUUGGAUAUUAAAAGAUGAAAAGAAUUGCUAUUAAACAUAAAUUUUUAAAUAUUCUAGUUCAGUAUCUAGUUCAGUAAUCUAAUAGUCUAGCACAGAGGUAUACAUUUAUAAAAAUAUCUGCUUUUAAAAUUGCUUUAUGAAAUUGUUACUGUGAUAAGACAUAGCUAAUUUCCUAAGAAAGUUUCUAAAAACAUGUUUGGGGCUGUCUUCUGAAAAAUAUUUCAGAAAGAAUUUUGAGAUCACUCUGUAAAACUACGCAAUUCUAUAUUCAUGAUUUUACUGCUUAGGGGUAACAGAAAAUAAGUUAUUAAUACUUUAUUUAGAGAAAAAGUAAGUCAUCAGUUUUGUGAACCUUGGUAAUAUUGUGUAUGAAAUUAUCAAAAAUAUAGUGGCUUUGUGACAUUUAAUGAAUUGUGAUUGCCAACAAAGACUUUGGUUAAAUUGAUGACAUAUUUUCAAUACAAUGAAAGAAAUAGAAUUGUUAACAAAACUGAUGUUAAAAAUCAUUUUAUUGCUAUGGGGUUUUAUUGGGAGGAGGGAAAUUAUUUUGUUAGCAGUAGGCAUGUAAGAAAUUUCAGUAAGGCUGUUGUUGAUGUAGAUGACAUUCCCUAAUGAUCUCUGUGAAAAUUCUUGUGAUACGAGAUUUUUCUACAGGAAUGGAAUAUUUGCACAGGAGGCGAGCCUCUAUGAACACAUGCAUGUUCAGGAUUGAGAAAACAUAUAUUGCUGUGUAUAGAGUAGAAAAAGUGCUGUGUGUUAUGUUUUUCUGAAGUACAUAGAUGACUGAUACAUAUGGCCAUUCAAUUAUUAUGAUUUGUUGAUUGCUGAGAGGUGUUUCUAGAUCACUUUGUAAAGAGCUGAAUUAGGAGACAAGACACUAAGGAAUUUUGGAGGCCUCUGUGGAUAUAUAGUGUAUGUGCACAGAUAGUUCUUAAAGGGCCAGAUGAUGGGAAUCUGUUAAUAUUCUAACAAAGAAUUUUUUAAUCCAUCUUUCUCCAGUAGAAAUGUUAAGUUGCCUUUGGACAUAAUGCAUUUCUGAUAGAUAUUUAACAUUUUGUUAUAAACAUUAUAAUGUUAAUUUUAUUGGUUUAACAUCAAAUAUUCUACAUGUAUUGACAUUGUGAGUAAUUAUCAAUUUAUAAGGCUAGAACCAUUUUUGGUAAAAAAUGCAUCAUUAUACUUGAUUUGUAUGUCAUAUUCCUAAUGUGUAAUAUCUACCUUCAAUGUUUAAUAUUAAUCUACUGUUACUAUUUUAUGACAAAUUUCAUCAUGAUAGAAAUAUCUUUAACUAUUGGUCAGCCCCUUUUUAUGGUUUUCAGCUAUAUUUGGAUACAAAAAGAAUUCUUUGUAUAAUAUGCAUGUGAUAAAAUAGCAUAAGAUAGUUAAGUUUUCAUUUGCCAAAACAAUUUAAAUUUUAAUGAUAGUGAAUUAUUGUUUUGAAUUAUUCUUAUUUUUAGUUUCAUAGGUAGCUUCUAAGUUUUUAUGUGGCACGUUAGCAAGUUCAUAAAAUCUUGGGCUGACCAAAGGAAUGUUUUGGUAUUUUUGUACAAAUAAUUAAUAGUUAACUAUUUUUUAAGAAACAAGGAACAGGUAUUUCUGCAUGUUUUGUAAAUAUAUUCUAUGUAGAAUAGCUACUUUCCACUAAUGUCAGACUAUCUCUGUGUAAAUAAUUUGGCAGCUGAAGGGUGUUUUGUUAUAUGAUUGUAUAUAAAAUAAUUACAAUAUGUAAUAUGAAAUAAUUUUUGCUUUAAACUUUUAUUCCCUGAUUUAUUGGGAAUUGCUGACAUGUGCUUGUAUAUAAACACACUUACACGUACAUAUAUGCACAGUUGUAGUAGUGUGUUUAAAGCAAUUUUUUUGGAAACUCACAGAAAGCUUUUUGUCAAUCAUCCGUGUAUUUUGUUGUAGGGAUCAUGACAUAAAGUUUAUGAAUUUUAUUAUGUUGGUCGACCAUAUUCUGAGAGGGCUACAUACAUGGUAGAUAAAUAUUUUUAUUUUUUAACAUAUGCAUAAGAUUUGCUGAUAGACACAAUUUUAAUACCCAACAGAUAAAGGUAAAAACACUAUUUGGGCAAAUUGUUUGUUUGGAAAGUUUUUGGUUGAUGGCAUUUGUUUGUUUCUUAUGUAGAAGAUAAUGUCACUUCAUAAAAUAUUUUUGGAGAGGAUAUGUAAUUUUGUCAUUAUUACAGAAUAUUUUCAUUGAAAUGUUACUGGUAGAAUCACUGUUAAAUCACAGACACAGAGAUCAGUUAGCCUUCAUUGUCUGUUUUUUUAUUUUUAUAUUCUUUAGUUUUUAAUUAGAUAUUUGUUACAGAAAUCACUGCCAUUUCUUAUUGUAUGUGUAUAAUUUAAUUCUUAAUUCCAUCCAGUUGUAGAAUGUUGGAAUAGAGUAGUAAGUAAUAAUUAUAGAUAUAAUACAUAUGCUUCUUGUGUAGCAUUUGAACUUCUUAAAUGUGUAUAGAUGUCCUCUCCACAUACAUGUGUAUACACAUGCAUACAAUAAAUAUUGUAAUGUUGAGCUGUGGUGAAAAAUUUCUAUUACCAAUAGAACUGUUUCACUCCUAUAUGUUCUUGCUUGAUAUAUUUGAGGGAAUUAUUUGAUAGUUCUGUACAUGUGAUCAUAGAUUUUUAUAUCAUGUAACUUUAGAUGUGAAGAAAUAUCUCACUUUUGAACAUGUUUUACUUAAAAUUAUAGCAUAUUUUUUUUUGCUUGUAGAAAUGAAAUGGUCACCAAGCCUAUAUAUUGUUGAGUGUGAUUUCUACACUGCUGUGUAUACAGCUAGUUUUAAACACUUAAUUUUUUAUGUAAAGACAUCCUUAUUAUACUUUUAAAUAUUAGAAAGUUUUUUUUUCCAAUAUAAUAAUUAGCUUUUAUUUGUGUGUACAGUGGUUUGUUGUUGUGAGGAAUACGGACUAGGAUUUCUGACCUCAUCUAUAAUAUACUUUUGCUUUAUAUCUGUUCUUCCUGGUUUAUAGAGAUGUGGGCAUAUAAGCAUUGUAAUCAUGCCAUUUCCAGACUAUAAGUUAAAAUUGUUUAACUUCUGCAGCUUAUCUUAGAAAACAUGGGUGGGCUCAUUAGGGUUUAUUGUUAAACAGUUGUGUUUAUAAUAGUUGCUUUAUUAUAUUUUUUAUUGUGUAAAGAUAUAAAAUUGUUUAUAAAUGGAAAGAGAAGGUAGUGGUAGUUUUUUAAUAUUUGAUAUUUCCAUUUUAGUUUUGUGUAGUCUUCAUUGGAUUGCUAGAAUUAUUAAAGACAAAUUACUCAAAUUGAGUCAAAUCCUUUUUCAACUAUAAUUUUUGUAUACAUGUUGUUAUGUUAAGGAGGACCUAGAGUCAUUUAGUAUUUUUACCUCAUUUUUAUUUAGAAGAAAAUUUAGAUUGUAGUCAUAACAUUGUUUGACUCUAUAUUAUAUGAAAAUACCUCAACCUAUAUAACGAACAUGUAGGUAUAUUUUAUUUUUCCAGAUGAUCUGAGAUUCAUGAUUCAUAGUAUAUUUUAUAGAAUCUCCUAAAUUGUUUCUAUUUUCAUUUGUUACUUAGCAGAGUAACCAAUGCAACUUUGUAAAUAAUGGGUAGUUGAAAUAUUUUGUUUUAAAACAUCUAGUAUACCUAGAUGUAUUGAGAGUCUCACAAAGUAUAAUUUUGUAAAUAUCUCCUUGUAGAUUUCUUAGUACUGUUUGUUAGUACAUUUAUAAUUAGCAUGUUAGUUCUUAAUGAACAGGCAGUUGGAGCUUUUGCAGGAUUUAUCAUACUUGGUUAAGAGGAGAAAUUGACAAAAUGAUGCAUCUACCUCAUUUUCAUGUAGAACUUCACCAUGGCAUCAAGUGUGAAUCAAUAAUUAAAAACACAGCAUGUAAAUUGAUUUGGUGUUUCUGGAUGUACCAAAUUUCCUGAAAUAUUUAUUUAAUGUUACUAUUUUUUUAUAAAAAGUUAAUUUUUUAGAACAGUUUUGAGUUAAGUAAAAAUUGAGCAUGAAGUGACAUUUCCAUAUACCCUCACUCUCCCCUUCCAUUCAUAGCUCCCCAUCUCCACUAUCAACAUCCCCCAGCAGAGUUGUACAAUUUGUUAAAAAUUAAUUAACUACAAUCACUGAACUCUCAUAAUCAUCCAAAGUCCACACAUUAUGUUACUGUCAACUCUUGGUGAUGUACACUUAGGACUUGCACAGAUGUAGAAUGACAGGUAUCCUUUGAAUAGCAUCAGUACACAGCAUUCUGAUCCUCUGUGUCCUGCCUGUUCAUAUCUCCCCUUUUGUUUAUUUUGCGUUUGAUUUUUUUUGUUUGUUUUUAGCACUCAUGAUAUAAGUGACUUGUUAAAAAAGGCUUUUAUACUACCUCUUGGAACUAUACAAUUUUGUAUAUGUUCCCUUGGUUGCAUGACAAUAUUCAAGACAAUUUUGUAAAUAAUAGGUAUAUACAAGAUUUUUAAUUUUAACAUCUAGAAUUUCUAGAUGUAUUGGAGUCUCAUAAAGUAUAAUUUUGUAUAUAAUUCAUUGUAAAAUAUCAUGUUUUCCUUGUUUCCUUCAAUUUCUUUACAGUGAAAUUGAUGAGAAUUAUUUUUUGAGCUAUACAUAUUUUGAUAUUUGUUUAUUGAAUUGUUAGGGAAAGGAGAAAAUGAAAAGGAUAUUUUCACUUUUACAUUCUCAUUUAAAAUUCAGAUUUUAGAUUUUAACCUUUGUUUAGUGUUUGCAGUAUUAUGCAUUCAAAAAACCAAAAUCAUAAUUUUAUAGUGUAUUGCUAAUGGGGCAUUAUGUAUUUUAAUCAUAGGAAAUGUGUUUUAUAAGAAAUUUUAUUCUCCCUCUUGAAUUAUAUAAUUUUGUAUCAAGAUGCAUGACAGUAUUCAAGACAAUUUGCUAAAUGUCAGAUAAUCAUUUAAAACUGACAUUUCUAGAUGAAUCAAGCACACAAGUAUACAUUUGUGUAAAUAAUUUCAUUGUAAAAUAUCAUAAAAUGGCUUCUGGAAAUGUUUUUGCAGUACAACAAAUAGGUAAUUAAUAAUCAACCUCUUUGGGCUAUGUAACAUUUUCAUGUUUGUUCAGUGGGUUUUGGAAAGAGUGAAAUUAUUGCCUACAUGUCUUCAGAUUUUAGAUUCUCGAGUCUAAGUUAAGAUUACAGUAUAUUUGAUAACAAAUGUAAAUAGUCUUGGGAUAUAGUUUUGUCUAUAAAAGAGGAAGACAUGAAGGAAAUGGCCAUUUUAAUCAGAUGCAUUCACUUAGCAGAUAAUGGCAUUGCUAAAGUAUUCAUAUUUUGCUAUGCUAUAUAAGUAUACUCUGCAAAUUUAAAUAUUUAUAGGCAUAUACAUGUGUGUUAAAUAUGUGAAAUUAGUUUUAGCAGGAUAGAUCAACUGUCACUCAUCUUCAAGUGUUUUACUUUUUCCUCAUUUAUUAGCUUAUUGCUUUAAAUUUUAUUUUUAUUUGAAGAUUAUAGAAAUAAUUUACUUAUAACAUUAAAAACAUUUCAAGAGGCCCAUCUCAUGUAUAAAAUGUUAAUUUUUGUAUAACUGAUCAAAGAGGUCCAUAUCUUCUAUUUUCAUAUAUAAUAUGACAUCGAUACAAGAUGUAUAUAAAGAUAAAAUUUAAUUAUCAUUUUCUGAGAACUUUAUCAGAUUUUCCAGAAAACAGUUACUUUUUGUGUGUUAAAUGGUAAAAUUUGAAACAAAUUUGAAAAUUUGAAACAAAUGUGUAAAUAAUGAAGAAUUUCUUACAAAGUUUUACUCAGUAUUGAUUAAAUUUCUGAUCAUCUUUUUGAACAUUUGGGCAAUGACAAUCAAUUGAGUGUAUAAAACUUCCAAAAUUAUGUAGCUUACUGCUGGAUUUUUAUCUGUUCCAGCACUUAAAUUUACAAAACAGCAAGUAUGUUAAAAUUUGAGCAUGACACAUAAUUUGAAUGUAUCAAAUUCCUAUCAAUAAAAUGUUAUAAUAAUUAUAGCUUAUAAUCAUACCAAUGAGUUUGUCAUAAAUAUAUCAAAUACCAAAAAAAGUAACUUGACAUAGGGUGGGUACUUGACGUUGAUUUUUUUGAAAAUUAUGUCAUUUUUGAACAAAUGUCAGCUAAUUGUUUAGUUGCAGGGGCAUGUGUGUAUGCCACUACUUUCUGAAAUCUUAAUCAUUAUUCCUGGAAAAGGGGAUUGUCUUUGAUAAGAUUAUUGAGUUAAUGUUUACUCACCAGUAAUUAUGAUGAGUAAUUAUUUUUUUCUACCUUCCUAUUUUUUAAUUAUUUUAUACUUUUUUUUUUUAUUUUUUGCACAAUGUAUUCGUUUUCAUCUUGGUAUAGUCCCCCCUCUUGUUUUGAUGCUACUUCCUCUUCCUCCUUUACCCUCCCUGUAGUGUGUCUCUGGUUUAUAGUUGCUGAGCUGGAAGGGGAUGCUCAGCGAAAUAAGCCAGAAAGAAAAAGAAAAAUACCGGAUGGUCUCACUCAUAGCAGGAAUUUAGAAAACCUAAAUAAGGGACCAGGAAAAACACUUAUUAUAAUAAAGUAAAAAUGAGUUAUUAUUUGAAUGUUUUUUUUAGAUAUUUUGUACAUCUGAGAUAAAUACUAAAGCAUUGUCUAUAUAUUUGUACAUUGCUACUUGACAAUUUAAAAUGAGUUUUCAAAUUAUUGAAUAGAAAAUUGCCUGGAAGAACAUGAUAAAAUGAUGACAGUAUUGUAUACAGGGAUAGGAUUUGGGAAGUGCUUCUGCUUUCUGCAAUCAAAAAUUUAAUGUUAUGUCAAAAAUGAACACUUUUAAUCAAGGGAAUUUUAAUGAGUACACCAAUUUGUUCCUGUCUUCAUUUUUGCCUGUCAACAUCUUGAAAGCAUUGGGCUUGUAUAUCAAACUUUGUAUUCCAAGUUGCCAUUGUGAAUGAGUUUUGAGUGACCAUGAAGAAUAUGUGAUUUAGAGACUAGCGCAGCAAAGUUUUACAAGUGAAAAAAAGUAUUGGAUUACCCAAGGAAAGAAGAAGGGACAAGAAUGGGAUUUUGAGGUGACCAUGAUAAAAAAUUUGCAUAUAAUUUGAGGUGGCAGCUAGUGAGCUACUGAGGACAAGUAACAUCAUCAGAGCAUUUCUGUUCCUUUUAAUUCAUGCAACUAAACUGCACGACACAGGGCAUUACAGUUACAAGAAAAGAUACUUUUAUCAUCUUGUUUUUAAUCCCAAGAAUGGUACACCAGACCUGUUGCUGUAUUUCUUAUUUAAGAGCUCUUCACUCUUAUCUCUGCUCCCAGGAAUAACCCUUUAGUGAUAAGAUUAAUAAAUCUUAAGUAGAAGACUUCCUGUGAAAUAUCUACUUGAGCAACUUUGAUGGCCAGCUGGAAUCAUAGGUGAUAACUGAAUAGAAAUAUGAUGUCAUUGUUAAUGUUACCAUAUUCACCAAAACCAAAAGGUGAUCUUCAUCAUGUAUAGAGAUUCCUCUUUCAUAUGUUGCAGUGGACACUGCAAAUGAGAAAACUGGACUUGAGAACACUCAUGUUUUAAUGUUACCUAAUGGAUGUCUUUGGAGAGAAUUGUUACCAGGCACGUUUACUGUUUCACUGUUGCCAGUGGACUAAAAUCUCAGGAGCUUGAAUGGCUGAGACAUUCCACAGAGACUCAGGAUGGUAUAACUGCAAGAAUUCAUUUCGGUGUUCCCAUAAGUGCAUAUAUUUACAAUUUUCACUUAGCACAGGGUGAAGUUAAGAUUGAUUCAUGUUAAAGUUUUGAAAUAAUUAUAAUUGAGUGGAAAUUUUGGAAUAUGAAUAUACAAUCUUUAUAUUUUUAGUCAAAACUAAAUAUUUCCUUAUGUUUUCUCAAACUGUACAAAUAUCAGUGUUUUUAAUCUUAGGCAAUGUGACCUACAAGGAAAUUUCUUUUUUGUUAUUGUUAAGUCAUCUUCAUAUACUUUUCAUACUUAGUAGUCUUUAGUGUUAUUUCAUUUUCAUCUGUGUUUUCAUUUCGAUUAGAAUAUUGGUCUCUUAUUUGUUUCUAAAAGUACAUUUAUGGCUAAGUAUAUUAAUAAUUUGUCAUGUAUUGCAAAUGAAUAUCAUGUUUUUUUGCCCUUAUUUUACUGUAUUUUAUUUUUUUGUUGUACUGAAGUUGUAUAUUGAAAUAUAAUCAUAU